UCGCCUUGUUUAUCAAAAACAUCGCCUCUUGCUAACAAUGAAGUAUUAGAGGUCCCGCCUGCCCUGUGACAGCAAUGUUUAACGGCCGCGGUAUCCUAACCGCGCGAAGGUAGCGUAAUCACUUGUCUUUUAAAUGGAGACCUGUAUGAAUGGCAUAACGAGGACUUAACUGUCUCCUUUCCCUAGUCGAUGAAAUUGAUCUGCCCGUGCAGAAGCGGGCAUACCAGCAUAAGACGAGAAGACCCUAUGGAGCUUUAGGCAGAUGAUCAAGCUCAACAAGCCCUGUCAAAAAUUAGGAUUGGGAAGACAAACGCCAAUGAUCAGCACGCCUUCGGUUGGGGCGACCGUGGAGGAGAAAAAAGCCUCCAUGUAGAACGGGAAAACCCUUAAGCUAAGAUAAACUAAUCUAAGUAUCAGAAAUUCUGACUAAGUAUGAUCCAGGACAAAUCUGAUCAACGAACUGAGUUACCCUAGGGAUAACAGCGCAAUCCUCUCCCAGAGUCCAUAUCGACGAGAGGGUUUACGACCUCGAUGUUGGAUCAGGACAUCCUAAUGGUGCAGCCGCUAUUAAGGGUUCGUUUGUUCAACGAUUAAUAGUCCUACGUGAUCUGAGUUCAGACCGG
rnacentral:rRNA from 1 species